CCUACGGGAGGCAGCAGUGAGGAAUAUUGGUCAAUGGUCGGGAGACUGAACCAGCCAAGCCGCGUGAGGGAUGAAGGUACAGAGUAUCGUAAACCUCUUUUGUAAGGGAAUAAAGGCGGGGACGUGUCCCCGUAUGCGUGUACUUGAAGAAAAAGCAUCGGCUAACUCCGUGCCAGCAGCCGCGGUAAUACGGAGGAUGCGAGCGUUAUCCGGAUUUAUUGGGUUUAAAGGGUGCGGAGACGGGGUGUUAAGUCAGGGGUCAAAGCCCGGGGCCCAACCCCCGGACGGCCUUUGAUCCUGGCAGUCUGGAGUUGAGGAGAGGUAGGCGGAAUUCGCGGUGUAGCGGUGAAAUGCGUAGAUAUCACGAAGAACUCCGAUGGCGAAGGCAGCCUGCUG
rnacentral:rRNA from 1 species